AUGGGAUUCAAUCCUAUGAAUCAAAGGGCCGACAUAGGAAAAAUUUCUAAGGAUUUCAAUUCUCCAAAAAUUCUAAAGAAUUUCUUUGAAUCAAAGAAGCCCGUAGUUGGCACCGUGCCUUCAAAAUGGUGUACUGAUACUUCCGUCGGUAACAACCUUGCUUCUUGUGCAGGAAUAAGUUUUUUACAGUUACACGAAACGAGGCGUGGAAGUCUGACGGCAGUGAGAGGCUACAAGUGUUCAUUACUUUGCGUCAUAGUUACUGUUGAAUUUGACAAUGUUCUGUAUGCAGAAAGAGCACGGGCGACAGAAUGUUGCAUGCCCCAACAAAGCACCCUUUGA
rnacentral:rRNA from 1 species